UGAGUAAUACUUAGGAAUCUACCUAGUAGUGGGGGAUAGCACGGGGAAACUCGUAUUAAUACCGCAUACGACCUACGGGAGAAAGGGGGCAGUUUACUGCUCUCGCUAUUAGAUGAGCCUAAGUCGGAUUAGCUAGAUGGUGGGGUAAAGGCCUACCAUGGCGACGAUCUGUAGCUGGUCUGAGAGGAUGAUCAGCCACACCGGGACUGAGACACGGCCCGGACUCCUACGGGAGGCAGCAGUGGGGAAUAUUGGACAAUGGGGGCAACCCUGAUCCAGCCAUGCCGCGUGUGUGAAGAAGGCCUUUUGGUUGUAAAGCACUUUAAGCAGUGAAGAAGACUCCAUGGUUAAUACCCAUGGACGAUGACAUUAGCUGCAGAAUAAGCACCGGCUAACUCUGUGCCAGCAGCCGCGGUAAUACAGAGGGUGCAAGCGUUAAUCGGAAUUACUGGGCGUAAAGGGAGCGUAGGUGGCUCGAUAAGUCAGAUGUGAAAUCCCCGGGCUCAACCUGGGAACUGCAUCUGAUACUGUUGAGCUAGAGUAUGUGAGAGGAAGGUAGAAUUCCAGGUGUAGCGGUGAAAUGCGUAGAGAUCUGGAGGAAUACCGAUGGCGAAGGCAGCCUUCUGGCAUAAUACUGACACUGAGGCUCGAAAGCGUGGGUAGCAAACAGGAUUAGAUACCCUGGUAGUCCACGCCGUAAACGAUGUCUACUAGUCGUUGGGUCCCUUGAGGACUUAGUGACGCAGCUAACGCAAUAAGUAGACCGCCUGGGGAGUACGGCCGCAAGGUUAAAACUCAAAUGAAUUGACGGGGGCCCGCACAAGCGGUGGAGCAUGUG
rnacentral:rRNA from 1 species